AGGUUAGACAGUCAUAAAAAAAGGAGGAGAACACAGCAAAUGUUUUUUUCUUCUUCUCCAUUUUUUCUUCUUCUCUUUUUCU
rnacentral:ribozyme from 1 species